GAAACCAGGGUCUCCUGCAUUGCAGGUGGAUUCUUUACCAACUGAGCUCACAUACAUUAAAGACCUCUAAGUUAAAAGUGACAAAUGGCUGUCCCCAGUGAAACAGGCCAUCUUGAGGGUCUAUAACAUCCAUCACAGAAGUGACCAGAUGGGAUAUAUUUAUGAGAUAAGGAAACUACAUUCUCCUUCUCCCUAGUCCAUAUUGCAAACUCUAGAAUCAAUCACUCAAGUGUAAUCAUAUCUCUUGCUGUGUCUCAGUUGUAACAGACGAGACCUACCUACCUACAUCGGAGCGUUCUUCUAAAGAAGAAAUGAAAUAGUAACGGAAGGCUCUGAUAACAGGAAAUAGCACACAUGGGAUGCAUCAAUAUAAAUGUGAGUUGUUACUGUUGCUAUUAUUAUCAUUAUCAUCAUUAUCGGUUGUGAUAUUCUUUUUUAUACCAUAUUCACAUUUUUUUUUUCCUGUGCUUCAGCGGCAGUUUACAAAAAUGAACACUGCUCUGCUCUCCAAUGAAAGCAAUAGCAUCGAAACCUAAGACGAUGUCUGGUUUGAGACCGUUCUCAGCAAACACCCUGACCUUGCCAGCAUCUUCCUGCAAGAGGUUAAUGCACAGGAUGGCUGGGGGCCGGCUCAAAUACCGGGAGGGGUGAGGGAAGGUUGUGGAGGUUUCGGCCCAGCCAGCAUCACAGCUGUCCUCAAUUACCACAAACAGCUGUUGGCAGCUCGACUCAUUAGAAAUGCAAUCCAACCACCUUGGCAAUCGGAUUCUCUUGCUGGAAACUCAGCAGACAGGAAGAUCCUGUGCUCCCAAUUCCUGUGGUCAAGUCAGGGAAGGUUCCUCUCCCUGGGGAUGAAAAGCCUCCCCAGGCACAGGCUCCGUAUGGCGAAUCUCCAUGGGGAUCACAGCAGCGGUUCUCAACCCGGGUUUCUCUAUAGCAUGGGGAUGAUAACCCUCAGCCAUGGGGUUCACUCACAGAUAAGCCCACCCUGACAUGAAGCACAGGAAGACUGCAGCCUGCUUCUCUUCCACCCCUGGCUCCAUCGUAACCACCUUGGGACUUCAUACACCUGCAAGGGGCCACCCCAGACCAAGUCCUGUCCGCAUAUGCUCCCCCACUGCAAUCAGCCGCACCGCGUUCACCCCCUCAGAUGGUGAACACAGUGCUUAUCUCAGGAGAAGACACCAGGAAAAGAGGCCCAUGCCGGCUCUGGAAGUAGACUUAGGAAUAUCAGAGAGAGGAGGUCCAGGACCCCAGUUAUCCAGGGUGGGGACAGGCUCGGGAUGAGCAGGCACGC